GAUGAAGAACGUAGUGAAAUGCGAUAAGUAAUGUGAAUUGCAGAAUUCAGUGAAUCAUCGAAUCUUUGAACGCACAUUGCGCCCGCCAGUAUUCUGGCGGGCAUGCCUGUCCGAGCGUCAUUUCAACCAUCAAGCCUCGUGCUUGUGUUGGGGACCUGCGUCCGACGCAGGCCCUGAAAACCAGUGGCGGGCUCGCUGUCCACACCGAGCGUAGUAACUAACCUCGCUAUGGAGUGGCGCGGGCGCCUGCCGUAAAACCCCCAAUUUCACAAGGUUGACCUCGGAUCAGGUAGGAAUACCCGCUGAACUUAAGCAUAUCAAUAAGCGGAGGA
rnacentral:misc_RNA from 1 species